rnacentral:rRNA from 1 species
UACAGAGGUCUCAAGCGUUGUUCGGAUUCAUUGGGCGUAAAGGGCGCGUAGGCGGCCUUCUAAGUCGAACGUGAAAUCCCCGGGCUCAACCCGGGAACUGCGUCCGAUACUGGAAGGCUUGAAUCCGGGAGAGGGAUGCGGAAUUCCAGGUGUAGCGGUGAAAUGCGUAGAUAUCGGAAGGAACAUCAGUGGCGAAAGCGGCUUCCUGGACCAGAACUGACGAUCAGGCUCGAAAGCGUGGGGAGCAAACAGG